rfam:Bombyx mori DNA, contig: Bm_scaf40_contig23137, strain: p50T/Dazao, build 2, whole genome shotgun sequence.
UUAACUCAUAUUUGUAUGGAAUGGGAUCGUUUGCGUACGUUUGCCGCUAGGGGCGCUGUUCCAACUGCAUACAAAAUUGGAUUA